GACGAACGCUGGCGGCGUGCUUAACACAUGCAAGUCGAGCGAGUGGAUUCCCUUCGGGGAUGAAGCUAGCGGCGGACGGGUGAGUAACACGUGGGCAACCUGCUUUAUAGAGGGGGAUAGCCUUCCGAAAGGAAGAUUAAUACCGCAUAACAUCAGAUUAUCGCAUGGUAGACUGAUCAAAGGAGCAAUCCGCUAUAAGAUGGGCCCGCGUCGCAUUAGCUAGUUGGUGAGGUAACGGCUCACCAAGGCGACGAUGCGUAGCCGACCUGAGAGGGUGAUCGGCCACAUUGGGACUGAGACACGGCCCAGACUCCUACGGGAGGCAGCAGUGGGGAAUAUUGCACAAUGGGGGAAACCCUGAUGCAGCAACGCCGCGUGAGUGAUGAAGGCCUUCGGGUUGUAAAGCUCUUUGAUCAGGGACGAUAAUGACGGUACCUGAAGAACAAGCCACGGCUAACUACGUGCCAGCCGCCGCGGUAAAAC
rnacentral:rRNA from 1 species